CUCCUCUCUAGAUCAUACUUGGAGAGUUUCCAGUACUCUACCGGUCUUGGCUACCAGAGGGAGAGUCAAGCAGAGGCCUACCCAUUCCAUUCCUAGCUUGGCCAGUGGCUAGCGAAUGGAAAGCAAUCUGCUACAAGU
rnacentral:snoRNA from 1 species